UUGAAUUCCCCCUUCUCCCAAAUUCUCUCUCAAGCUCCCUCAUAAACCCUAGCUGCCUCCUUCCACCUCCGCCCUAAAGUCGCCUAAAUCUAUGGCUUCCAAAGCAAUUAAGAGCAUGUACUUGCUUCAUACGACUCCUACAUGUCUGGUUACUAUGGUUUCAAGGUCAGACAUUGAAGAAGCUUGGCCCAGACUUUAUUUCAUUCAAGUUCUAUGGUUGUCUCUGAUCUUGCUCCAUCUGCUCAUGGUUGUUCAAGCCCGAUCUUGACCUCUCCAGCUCAGAUCAAUGACUCUCCAAGCCUUUCUCACCACCUGGGAUAUUCUGAAACCCUAACCUUCGAGGUUCUUCUGAUUCUUUUAGAUCUGUUGUAGAUUUGUGUUUUCUCUAAGCUCUUAUACGUCUCCUCAAAGUUUCUUUCAAAACUUUACCUGCAAAAUCUUACCUUUUCCCAAUUUAGGGUAUUGUUAAGUCAUUUUAAAUCUUUCUGACUUUUAACAUGUUCUACUGUGUUUUUAUGUUGAUUCUUUUACUAUGUUUCUUAUAAUGUUCUUCUACUACGUUUUUAUGUUAAAAGCCUUAGUUCUUUUUUAAGGUUUAUGAUUUUAUUUUCUUUGUUGAUAUUUCUACCUGAUUUACUUGUUUUCAUCUCUAUACUCGAUUGAUGGGGGGGAAACCCUAGAUUCUAUGGUUCAUUCGAGUAUUGAGACUAUUUGUUAUGUGAUUAGUUUGUUCCUCAUCUCUGAACUUGUUUGGUUUAAAAAUCCUAAUUUCUUUAGACCUAUGCGAGUUUUUGAAGUUGUUUCGUCUAUUACUCAAUUGAGAUUCGAAAUAUUUGCCUUCUGUGGUUUUGAUUACCUACUAUCAGUAGAACUUGACCAUAUUUUAAGAAAAGGUCUUUAAUGGACUCUUUUGCAUGGUUAUGAUACCCUCUUCUCCCUAUUACUAAGUCGCCCUAUGUGACUACCAUGUGUCACUAUCUACAGACUUUGUAAUUAGUAUUGUUGCUUCUCUUUGCCAUGGUUUAACCUCACGUGUCUAAUAAUCGUGCACUCUUUAUAUAUGCUAAAUUUCCCUCUCAAAACAACCCUUAAUUGUGGACUGAUUUCAGACCUCCUUAUGCAAGUCUGAUUGAUUCUUCCCUUGUCUUGCUAAUUUCCCUAUUUUUUAGGUUGAUUUUGAAAAUUUCUCCUUAGCCUUCCGAUUCUCCUAUUUAUGACUUGGUUUAUUUGUAACUUUUAAUCCUUGACUCCUUGGUUUACUAUGUGCUCAUCGAUUUAUUGUGUUUCUUGCCUUACUUGGUCAACCGUGUAUUUAAAAAUUCUUCAUCAAUUAUUCUCUUAAUUAAACCCCUAUAUAUUUACCUCUAAUUGCCUACUUUGCAUAAGAUGCUUACUUGAUCUUCUUCCUUAAAAGUUCUCUUCCCUUUACUGUUUGAGUUUAAACUCUUUAAUUAUAGGAGGUUUUUAUACUUAUUGACUUUAAUUGGUAUACAGUUCCAUAAUUAUUUUUCUCCCUUAGUUUUUGCAUGUUUUUACACUAUAAAUACAUGGCUUUUGCAUUGACAAAACACACGAACGCCCUUAGUUUCCUGAACUCACACUUACAUUCAAAAAGCAUUCUCUCUUGUUACUUGUAUUGUGACCUAUUUUGAAGUCCUGUUACUUCUUUUACUGUACUUUGCCUCUUUGAAACUGAUAUGUCAUGUUUAAGAUUUUCAGCAAUCAUCAACAAUGUAUUUAUUUAAUAUAUUUACUUGCAUGUAUGUUUACUGUUUGUGCUCGGUUCUGCGUUUACUCUAGCAUGCUAUAACUUCCUUUUGUUAUGAACCCCAAGCCGCCUACCCCAAUGUGUUUGGAUGCUAAUGGUUUGUUUGAGGCACGACAUUAUUAAAUAUUAUUUUCUAUGGCUCAAACUUGAUUCCCGUGGAAUCAUAACCUUUAUGUCACCAUCAUGUGUUGUGUAUUCUUGUUGGUUUUGUAAGCAUAACAGCACUUUCUAUUGUUGUAUAUGCCCACGAUUAGCUAAUGCCUAAGUACAUAGGCUAUGUGGCAAUUUUCCCAUUCCCAAACUUGUUUAUGACUGUUCCCAGCACCUCUUCCCCUCUUCUUUACUUUCUGAGUUCUUUAAAACUAUGUUCUUCAUUUGCAAUAUCUCUUAGAUUUUAAGUUCUGCCACCCUUAUGUGAGCCUUGCCUUGGGACCCAUCGAGCUCCCUCUGAACUUGGACACUUUAGGACUGGCCCUUCCACACUGCACGUGUCCCUAUUCUGGUGAAACAAUUUGGGUGUGAGCACUGCCUGGAGUCCCAUUAAGGCUCUUAGGGAACUUUGACACACUCAGAUUGGAGAAAGGCUUUGGAUCAUGAUCGUUGGAGUUGGUUUACCUCAUAUUUCAGACAUGAAGUAUGAAUCUGGCUUUCCUUGGUUGUACUUUUUAAUUUCUUAUGUAUUCUUUUAUCUUUAUUCUGGGGCUGUAAUAAUUUGGUAAUAAACUCUUGG
rnacentral:lncRNA from 1 species